rnacentral:pre_miRNA from 1 species
GUGAGAUGGGAAUUAGCGUUUGGACAUGCGAUUUUAUGCUGAUUUCAUCUCAUGA